AUGAAAGUGUUACUUUUGCACCAAUGCUUCAUUGAAGAAACGACCAUUGUAGAAAAAUAAUCUGCUGCCAGAAGGAAAACUUAACAUGUUUAAAGUUCUACUUUUUUCCCUCGCUGUCGUUGUCAUCACCACACGGCACACAGCACACAGCACUCUUGGUUUGUGUCGCCAGUGCAAAUCAUGUUGCUAUGGCAGGAAGAGGGAAAGUGUAAACCCAAGAAAUGAAGCAGGUGUUGCAGAGUCAUACAAGAACCAGAGGCGUGUAUUUCUUAAAGAAAGGCUCAACAACGUGGCUCAAGGCUAUAGGAAUAAUUGAAUUCUAAGAAGGUUAUAACGGGAAACUGAUGGAAAGACUCUAGUAAAGAYCAUAAUGUCGCAAAGUUUAGUUUGAAAGUAAUGGAAAAAACUAAAAUAACUGUUGUAAUAUAUUUACUUCCAGGUAAUACAUAUAUAUUAAAACUAAAACUGUAAAUUUACUUCCAGGUAUGCAUAUAUUAAAACUGAAACUGUAAUAUCAAGA